GACGAACGCUGGCGGCGUGCCUAAUACAUGCAAGUAGAACGCUGAAGGAGGAGCUUGCUUCUCUGGAUGAGUUGCGAACGGGUGAGUAACGCGUAGGUAACCUGCCUGGUAGCGGGGGAUAACUAUUGGAAACGAUAGCUAAUACCGCAUAAUAGUAGAUGUUGCAUGACAUUUGCUUAAAAGGUGCAAUUGCAUCACUACCAGAUGGACCUGCGUUGUAUUAGCUAGUUGGUGAGGUAACGGCUCACCAAGGCGACGAUACAUAGCCGACCUGAGAGGGGGAUCGGCCACACUGGGACUGAGACACGGCCCAGACUCCUACGGGAGGCAGCAGUAGGGAAUCUUCGGCAAUGGACGGAAGUCUGACCGAGCAACGCCGCGUGAGUGAAGAAGGUUUUCGGAUCGUAAGGCUCUGUUGUAAGAGAAGAACGAGUGUGAGAGUGGAAAGUUCACACUGUGACGGUAUCUUACCAGAAAGAGACGGCUAACUACGUG
rnacentral:rRNA from 1 species